GCUGCUACACGUAUCACCACCAGAUAUGUCCCCGAUCCCAGUCUGCAGGCUGUUGGCAAUUUGCCUAGCUCUUUCAGAAGCCAUUUUCAUUGGCCACAUUGGCUACUAAAGACUGACUCACCUUCUACAGAAUUCAAAACCUUUUUUCGGCUUUUGCGCUCUACUCUCAGGUCCGUGAACUGGACAGUCCCUGCCGCGCAGAGCUCGCCUCGGAUGACGCGCCGGCACAGUUGUGAUUUAGUAGUCCCAGGCGAGGAAAUGACAUGGAAAACGGAAGAAAGCAACUUGAGUCCAGAGAGGGACCCCCGAAAUCGAAGACGAAGACAAAAUUGUGCAUAUUUUGAAAAGUUUGGCUACAAAACAGUUGAAGCUACCUGUGCUAUGCACGCUUGUCGCCGAUCUCCAACCCAGGAGUUAAGAGGAAGCACCUUAUAAAAUUUAGCCUCCUAGCUUGUAGCCACGGAGCAAUCAGGAAAGAUGUAUAUGGUUCAUGAAGGCUUUUAUUAUCUUGAAGUUUAUUCUUGGUUUCGAGUUAAAAGUUUUGGUUUAGGCACGCUGACAUGCAGUUCAAUUAUUGAUUGCAGCUACGGUCCAAUAUGAUGUAUAAUGUUUUGCCUCGCUCACGAUUAAAUGUAGUAGUAGUUGACUUAUAAUACUGGUCGUCAUCUGCCCAUAUUAAUACAAUCUUUGUGCUUAUUUUUGAUUAUUCUGGUGAGUGUAAGAUCCCUUAAAAAGUUAUCUAAACUAUUAAACGUUAAUUUUAAUUCCCA